CACCAGGAGUCUUUCUUCUAACAAAGCAGUGCAAACAGGUGGUUUGUAGCCUAGGCAUGCAGGCUCCUUUUUGCCCCAAAGGCUCUUGAUGGCUUCUUUCUCCAGCUGUCCUAAAGGGAAAGGUGUUUAUUACCACUUAUACCUCCAGCCUUUUGUAUUUACAAUCUGCUUUACAAUUGCUUUUAUUAGCUCCAAUGUGAAUAUUAUUCCCUUUUUCACUUUGCCUUCUUGAGCUGCCUGAACUGGAAGAGAAGUACAUGGCUGAAGUUAUGGCUCCCUCCCAACUUUGAAAGUUCAAGAGGAGCACGGUGCAAGAUGCUGGAAUAAUUCUCAACCAACAAGAAAACAAACAAGGAGCUGCCCUCAGAGUGGAGUUGACAAAUUAAGCUUCAUCGUAUUGGAUUCCUUGGCAUCACUUGCACAUGAAAGGACCAGAAGCAAGGAAGGAAAGCUUAUAAGUGGAGAAGACAAAGACUCAGCUGGAAGAGAAUGAAUUGGAGGCACCUACUUUCAAGCCCAGAUUUUAAGAGAGAUGAUUUCAACUUGGCCUGACCAGAGAUGGAGGUUUUUCUAGCUGCAACCAGCCAAACUAUUUCAGUCUUUCAAGG